AUGUGAGCACCGCUUGGAAAUCUGAAUCGUGAAACUGACUGCGUGUUGGGAGGCAGUCUGGCAUGUUGAUUUGGACAUGGAGUGAAUGAUUUCAGAGGCAUAAAUACAGAUGUGAUUUGACAGCUCUGCCUAAGAGGGGCAUUUGACAGUUACUGUCUCCCACAGAGUGUUUAGGAGUUGGCAUUGCUCUGAAGCUCUCUUCCUGGAAAAUCUGAUCCUUACAAGGUAGAGACAUCUUUGGAGGGUCAGAGAGCGAUGGCUGAUUUAAGACUGCUGUUGAGGACAUGCUAGGACUGAAGAAAACUGAGAGCACAGGACGAAAUGAAAACUUUCAGCCCCCAGCCCAAGAUGCAAACACUAUAUCACUCCAUUCUUCUGCAGACUUGGUAACAGAGCAGCCUCUCCCAAAUGAUCACGUGUGAUUCAGAUGGAAAGCCAACUUCAAAUAUGUAUGCAAAACCAUACCCUCCUUUUUGCUUUUGUGAUAUGGGGAAAAGCUUACUGAAAUGUUUUUGCUCUGUCUUUUGUCCCAUCUUGCUGUUGUCAGACCCCUCCUCAGAUCUCAGCAUUCUAUGUGACUGCCACAGGAUCCUGCUGCUUACCUGCUCACGGCUCUUCAGUAUUGCAGUUAGACAUCAAUACUGACACGAGUUUUCCUGAAGGCAGCCUAUCUUCUCCCUGCUGUGCGCAAUGAAAUCAAAGCUGGUGUUAAGCCACAGCUCCCUAAGCUUUCUUUUUAACCCCAGUGCUGAUGGUCAUUGUAACUGAGCAGAUUUUGUUCUUGCUGCAAAGAAAAAAUAUCUUCUGAGGCUUUUGAAUUUCUCUGGAGGGGUUUUAUUUGUUUAUGAUGUGUUUUUGAGUUUCAAAAUAUAGUUGCAAAUUAACUUUUAAGUGUUUUCAAGAGAUGUUUAGGCAGUGGAUUUUAGAAGAGCUUUAAAAAUGGAUUUUAUCUGAGCAAAAAAAUGCAGGACAGUCUCCUCCCACCCCAACAAGGACACUUCAGGGUGUAUUUCAAGGGUUUGCAGUUUUUCUUAGAAAAUAUGCUAAAAUUCAGUCAGCUGUGUGUUGUGUGCUGUGGCUUUUUGGAAGUUGCGUGCUCUGGCUGCCGUCAGGAUUUAGUGCAAAGCUGAGAAUCAUGGUUGGGAUUCUUGAAGGAGUUGAGGAGUAAAUAAGAAUUUGAAUGCCAGUCACAAGAUGAUUCCAAAGGAAACACCUGCGUAGUUGUUUCAGAACUCUGCGCAGUGUCCUGGCAGAGCAGGUUUCACAAGUAAGUCAUCUGAAACUGUUGUCAUUUGACCUGGGUGAUAAAACUCUGGGAAAUGUUAAUGCCUUAAAGCCAUCUAUAGUGUGAGGCCACCCCUUCAGUAGCUUACAGAUAGGGAAGUGAAAUAGCAUAAUUACCUAAUAGUGUGGAUGGGAACUGGCAGUGUGCCAAGUUGGUUAGUGCGCAGUGGGAAGGCACUAAUUGAGUGCUGUCCAGGGUGCUGAUGGCAGAAUUUGUGCCGGGGGGGCAGAGCCCUCUGGGUCUAUCUGGCUCACCCCCUGCUCCAGCGGGGAGACCCAGAGCAGGCUUCCCAGGCCGGUGUAUAGGCAACUUCUGAAUGUCUUCUAGGAGGAGACCCUAGAGCCUCUGGGCAGACUGUGCCAAUGUUCUUUCACCUGCAUAGAGAAAAAGGUGCCUUUUUUUUUAUUUUUCUUCCCCUUCAGGCAGCAUCUCCUGCAAAUGUUUGUGCCCACUGCCUCAAGUCCUGACAUUGGGCUCCACUGGGAAGAGUCUGGCUCUCUCUACUUUACACUCUCCCUUCAGACAGAAAAAAGCGUAUGUUAUGUACAUUGAUGAGAUCACUGCUGAGCCUUCUCCAGGCCAAACAGUCCCAGCUCUCAGCUUUUCUCCAUAGGAAAAGUGCUCCAGUCCCUUUUCCAUCUCAGUGACCCUUUGUCGGAUGCUCUCCAGUAUGUCCACUCUUGUACUGGGAAUGUCUUUCUUGUAAUAGCCUUUAGAAAUAGGACUAAGAUACUGAUUUGAUUUGGUAUAUAGAUAUUCUUGCUGUCCACACUCUCCAGCUGCCCUGUAAGCAGGACUAGCUUUUAGACGUCCAAUUUCAGAGGAAGGGGAAUUAUGCUGUCAGGGGAUGAGGAGAGUAUUUAUUCCAAAAGCAAAGAAUCUUCACGCAUCCAUUUAAGCAAUACCUUUGGUAGAGAUGAUUUAAAAGCACUUCAGUAGCAAAAGGAUUUAUUUCUCUUCUGGUUGCUAUCUAUAGGCUUAUUGACAAUCCCGUGACUAACAGUUGUCGUGGUUGAGCUGUCUGUCACUUGAGCAAUAAGCAGCAUCUCAGCUGAUUGUUUGCUGUUAUUUUUCUGGUAGCUCAUAGGACUUGAGGCUAGGGAAAAAGUGUCAUCUCUUUAUGCUGGCUUAAUUUGCAAGACAAGAUGAUUAAUGCCACGUCAGUGCGCAAACCGAAACAAGUGACGAUGUCACUAUUGUAGCUGGUACAGACAAAAAGAGAAGCCAGCACUUAGCCAAGGAGCCUCUUGGAUUUUUCCACAAGUGAAGGUCAGCUUUAAUGCAGAAGCAUUAUGUGGUAUAUUAGCAUACUUAUAGUGUGUUUAAUAAAAAUGUUUUUCUGAGUAAUUGGAUACAACCUCUGCAGUCUGGUGUAAAUCCUUGUGAAGCUGUGAGGAAGGAGGAAGUGCUUUGAGUGCAUUUAUGUUACAAAACUUACCAUAGAAAACUUCAGUACUAAGGAGUUGUGGUGCUGCAGGCUUCCUGAUAAUGGCUGCAGAGAGUUCUUUAAGGAAAAAACUCCUGUUUCAUCAGCAUUUUGAUCAGACUCAUUAGGGGUGAGCCCUGCAGCAAGGAGAUGAUGAGCUGUCAUCUCUUGCUCCAGCUUACAAAUUGAACCAUUCUUGUACUGAUGCGUGCAAGCCUUACCCAGGUGUCCCUCCAGACAGAGCUGCGGAGCGUUCUCCCUUCUUGCUGCAGCAUUUUUGCCUCUUGCCUAAGGUGUGUAGAGGCUAGCAAGCCCUUACAGUGAAUUCUGGAUUAAGAAAAAUGCCUCAUUCAGAAAACAUGUAGACCUACUGAAAAGUGAACUCUAUUAUAGCUGACACCAAACCUAUACAGUAUCUAGAAAUUCUGAAGUCCCAAGUGAAAUCAUUAGAAGGGGGAGAAAUGCUUGGUCUAUGCCUGCGUGCCUGCCCAGUGCCCCACACGGUAAUUGCUUAUGAUAUGUCAUUGUACUUUGUACUGGAGUCUGUGGAUGUUAAUGGAUGCUAAUGUCUAAAGAAACAAGUUUGAAUGAGUUGUUACACUGAGGCAAAAGGGGCUGCUAAAACCUGCUGCAAGCCUUAAUGCUACCCUGAAUGGCUUUUACUGUAACACCUCUUAGUCAAGUUUUCCUUGCUCCAGAGAGGUAAGCUGCAGGUAACCACAGUGGAAUGAGGCAAGAGGUACGUCAUCUCACUGUCCUUUGUAGCGUGAGCCCUGCCCUUGCAGUGAGGAUGACCAGGGAGAAGAAACUCGGAGCGGAGGCUGCUGCAGAUUAGAGCUGAAGGAAUAGCAGAAUGUUUAAGUGGGGACAUGAAGAACAACAGCACUUCAGUCCCUGCAAUUCCCACUCAUGACUGAAGUCCUGUUUGAAGUGUCCCUUGCUUUUUCAAAUUCCAUGGUAUGGAAUAUUCCUUUGGUCAGUUUAGGUCAGCUGUCCCGGUUCUUUGCCCUCUCAGCCGCGUGUAUCCCUGCAGCCCCCGACUGGCAGGACAAGAAACUGAGGAACUGAACCUCCUUAGCUCUGUGCAGCACUGCUCAGCAACAACCAAAACAUCGGUGUGUUAUCAGCACUGCUUUUCUCCUAAAGCCAGAACACAGCACCAUACCAGACACUAUGAAGAAAAUCUACUCUGUCCCAGCUGAAACAAGGCCAGCAGUCAAAGCUGGGUGAGUAGCAGAGCACUGGGGCUGCUAUCUCUCAUCUAGGCCAUCGGCAGUGACAUUUAUCUGGGACCCACAUCUGUAGCUGCUCCAGUGCCAAAGGCAGCACGUGGCCUCCAUGCUUUGCAAAUGCUCUCCAAGCUGCCUGUCUCCAUGUGAAGCUACGGUGCAUCCUGUGGCACGCUGCAAGUUCCAGAACUGUGUGUCUGCAGGGUGUAACUUCUGAGUAACAGCUGAGUAACACUGAGAUUCAGUGAUUACAGCAUUAAUGUCAAUACAAAUAGGGUGCCACAAGCCAAAACUGGAGCAGAUGUCUCACAGCACGUAUUGAUUAUAUGAUACCCCAAAGCUCCAGGUGCGUUUCCAGGAGUGAAGCUGGUGGUUCUGCCACCAAGUUUCAUUAAUGGAGGUGGUCCCAGGGAAGAACAGCGUGAUGACAGUGUCCAGUCCUACAGGCAUUACGGGAGUGGAAGUGCUUUUGGAGCAGUGUGUGUCUGUACAGGGAAGGAGGAUCUCGGGGCAAACAAGGGCUUUGGGAGCCAGAGCUGUGUGCUGUAUUCCUGCACCUGUGCUGUGGCCCAGAAGCAGCUGAAGCCCGGGGGGGUUGGACAAGGCAGAGGCUGUGCUCACAGCACACAGAGGCUGAAGCACAGGGCAGGCUGCGUUGUGAUCCUAGACUUUCCAUCAGUGUCGGCCCUUUAAGGAUGAGCAUGGACACUGCCCAGCACAGACCAGGCAGCCACGUGAGUGUCCUGGGUGGGCAGAGCCGGACUAGCACAAAACCCGAAGUGGGCAGAUGGAGGCAGGCUGAGCUCACUGGCUCCUGCUGCUCUGCUCCCUUGUCCUUGGGUAGACGAAGACUUGCCUCCAGGUAGAAGAUCUGGGGUGUGUGUGAGAGAUGUUCAGCAGCCAAGUGUCCAUCUUGCCCUGAUUGCUGCCUGGGCUGCUGCAAUGCCGAGUGCAGUAACCUUUCUGGCUGGUUUUUGCGCAGAGGCAUUUAUGCUUGUAUUAUGACUCUGCCUGGUGAGCUCUGUCUCCUGUAUGCCUGAUCUCAGGCUCUCUCUGCUCUUUAUUUUUUUAUUUCUUUUUAUUUCUUGGUCUGGGAUGUGCUCUGUCUUUAAUGGAUCAGGAAGCCAUACGCAAUGAAGAAGCUUUGUUUUCUGUGCAUCAGUGAGGGAAUUAUUGACUGAGUGCUGAGCAGCCACGUUAUUGAUUCUGCCCGUAGCCCAGUCUGUCUGCCGCUCAGGCUGACUGUGUCCUCCUGGCUCGCUGCAUUAAUCGGAUUCUCUGAGCUGCUGAGCAGAGGGGGAGAGUUGGGACCAAACCCAUCUAUCAUGUUUGCUUCCAAAUCCAGCUCCGUGUCCCCUUCUCCAUCCAUGGAGCAGGCGGAUUCGGAUGUUCUGGACAUCAGCACCAAAGUGCAGCUGUACGGAGUGCUGUGGAAGAGACCCUUCGGGAGGCAGUCGGCCAAGUGGUCCAGGAGGUGAGCUGCGGUCGCUGGGAUGGGAUGUGGGGCUGGGGUGUCAGCUGAACUCUCUGGCUCUUGUCAAGUGCCACAGAGACAAGAGGUGAAGCUUCAGGCAGAGCCUCCCUGCUGUCCUGAGCCUGCUUCACAUAGGUGUGCUUUCCUCUUUACCUCCCCGUACUCUAUCCUACGGGCACUGCAGGAUAGGAAUAGAGUCUCGCUGCUUUCCCUGAGCUCCUUGGAUGAGAGACGGCCGGAUUGGGCUGGCUCUGUGUGUUGGAAUGUGCCGUGUUUCUGUGCACAACUCCUGUGGCUCCUGGGAGGUGUGUGAUCCGAUGGACUGAGCCUUCCAGCAUUCUGGGGAGGCAGGUCAGAGUCACUCUUGAUAGAUGUCAUCGGCAAGCCUUUCGAUUACAAGACCCGUGACUGGAAAACUCUGUGUGUUUCCCCUACUACUGCCAGAGAGAGAUUUUCUAACCCAGGAAAGAUAAUGACAACUCCGUUGUUGUGAUCUUUAAAAGAAGGAUAACAGUCCUUACCUUUUUUCAGUAGUUUGAUAUCUCAGAUGAAACUGUGCCAGAAAAUCAAAGUAAUGUUUUCGUUUUCCCCAACCUUUCCCCUGGGAAGAGGCCCAAAUGAAUCAUUAACAAAGGCCUACAGGAAACCGAGCUGCCUGCGGGGCUGGAAAGUGGCACAGCUCUCGUGGCACUUCCAUCUAAACCUGCCAAGAUGGCUUGGCCCAACAGGUGGUUAAAUGUUGCUUGGGAAGUGGCGUGCUUGUGGCCAUCUGUGUGAUGUGUGCGGGUUUUAUGCUAUGCUUGUUCUGAAAGCGAUGGCCUGUUUUUUUUUGUCAGAGAGGGUUUGUGCUGGUGUUCUCUGCUCAGCUCACAAGCAUUGCUGUUGAAAUGAAUGAUGUCUGGAAACUAAUGUGGUUGUUGCUGAAAAGAAGUGGACAAAGUAACACAGGGGAAGGUAAUAUGCUAUGAAGAACACAUUCCUAAAAGGCUUUCUUCUUCGUAAUCAAAAUUUCUUAAAGGCAAAUGGCCUUGUGCUCUGUCAUUAUUUACUUAGUGCUUUUCUAUUCCUACAAGUCCCCCAUCCUCAGCGAGCUGUAAAUAUUUCAGUAACAGUGAGUGGGAGGAGGUGGGAGGCAGUGCAGGGCUGAGCCUGUGUGGAAGAGUUACUGUGAGCACUGCAGCUGGGCCUGGGGGAGCAGCAGGGCAUUUGGGAAAUGGGAGGCAUCUCUGGGGUGCUUGUAGGAUUUGGAAUGAGGGCUUUCCAGAGCCAAAGGGCUGUAGAGCAGGAAGGCCGAUGAGGAGAGGGAGAGCUGGUCCCAGGGUUGGGCUGAUCCUGGCAGUGGGACGUAUGGAGGCAUUGGCAUAGAGCAGAUGGGAGUGAUAGGGCGGUGCCAGGCUGCCCCUCUGUGUCAGGUUCUUGGGAGCCAGAGGAGGCCUGGGGCUGUUGUAGCAUAUCAGGCGCCUCUGCAACUGGGGUCUGCUCCGUAACGCCAACAGGGCACCAGGCAAAGGUGCCCUGUGCUUGAGAUACUCCCUUCCCAAGCCAGGGGAAAUGAAAGAGGAGGAUCGAUCCCACCGUGCCAUUAGUCAUGCAGCUGAUUCUGUGCAGCUUUUAGGAGAUAAGUGAUGUUUACUGGCCCAAUCCCAUUCAUUCAGCAGGAAUAGCAGUGCUGCAGGAGGUGAUGGGAAGAAAACCAAGUUUUUAAAGGAAAUACAGAGUUGAACAGAUAACAAAUGGGGGGAAAAAAGUCCAGACUCAGGAUCCUGAGCUUUGGUAGUUGGUGAUUUCACAAUUGAAAUCUCAGACCUGGAUCAGGACUGUUGCCACAACAGGGAUCUGCCAUGUGUGUUCUUGGGCUGGUGUCCUGAAACUUGCCAUUGGGAAGGGGCAGCCUGUUGGUUGUUCUUAUAAAGAGCAAGUAAGUUCUUACUUAUUUGCCUGUGGGUUUUUCUGUUACUUACUAUAUUUCUUUUAAACUCUUAUGUUGUACUUUUUCAUUCUAAAUCCCCACAGACUCUUGCCAGACUCGUGAGGUCAGAAAUGUAAAAGUUCACUCAUCUGCCAGAGGCAGAUGAGGGAGUCUGGGGAGGGAUCAGUGCUUGUGGUCUUGUCUUGUUUUUCCACUAGAGUGUAAUCUGUUAUAUGGAGAUUAUCAGGAACACUGAGCAUCCCAAAGGUAUGUAACAAAUGAGGGCUAUAACAGAGGUUAAAGCAGGUUAGAUUAGAAGUGGCUUGUAGUUCAGUAUCAGCAUCGUUAGCUGCCUAUCAAAUGUUUCCUGAGGUUCUUCAAAUCUAUUGAAAUGUGUCCAACAGAUGUGCCCAAUGCCAAAUCUGCUAAAUGCCUUUUGUCAGUGUCUCAGAAUUGUGUGCACAGCUCAGCCCCACUUCCUCUGGGAUGCUCCUUCCCAUCCCCACCUGCCAUCAUGAGGAAACAGCCCUGCUCCCUUACCUGUGAUGUGGGUGAGAGGUGUUUAGGGUGGGUGGUUCCCAGCACAACUGUGCCCCGUGGAUGGUCCAACUCCCUGUGUGCCUCAGCCACCUCUUACAGUAAUAUAGAGUCUGGACUGGUGCCGCAGGCUGCACUCCCCACUGGGCAUCAGAUCCUCUGCGGUCCCCUGCUGACUAAAUAUGCUCAGUGCAGAAGAGUGACUUUCACCCUGGGUCAUGCUGUUCCAUCCAGUGAGAUUUUGCAAGGCUAUGAUCAGGACGCAAGAGGGAGUCGGGCAGUGGGUGAGAAAGCAGUGUCCUGCUGAGACAGCAGGUGGGCUUCCACGCUGCUGGUGGCAACGCAGCAGGUACAGAUGAGCAGGCAAGGAAAAGAGAGGAACUGGGACAUACAAAUUGCUGCUGCUCUUUUUAUGCUCCAGACAUUUCUGUGUGUAAAUGUGCAGAUAUUCACUGGCUGUCAUGCUUUGAAGCUGGCACACAGUAGGUCUGGAGCCUGAGCUCACUGUGGAUCUUUCUAUAGAAAACACUUUAUUUGUCGUUAACUUCUUUGAAAGCUCUCUGCUAAACUUGUCCCUGUCUUUUCAGCUGCCCUUCAGCAUUAUUGAAUGCUGCAGGUAUUCAGACUGAAUUUAAGUGAAGUCAAAUAUCUCUCCUGUACCACUGCCUGCAGGGUAAAUGCAACAUCAAUUUUCUAGGAGCAGAGGGAAUUUCAAGCAUCCAAAUAAGCUAAAAGUGGUUCUUCUUUAAUAACAACACUGGGGACAUGCUCUGGUAAAUUACAGGCAUGCUUUACAGGAACUGUGAUACUCAUGGCUACUGUGUAGCUUUCAUCAGAGCAUACCAAAGGCUAACUCUGCAGAACAUUUUAAUGCGUUUUAAUGUGACGUGUGUAAUUAAAAAAAAAAAAUCAAUUUCCUUCCUAUUUACAAAGGCUAGUGACAGAAGACUUUGCCAACAGCUCUGCUUAAAAAUAUCACUGCAAUUUAUUUCUGCUCCUGAGCGCUCUCAUGACAAAUGUUUUGCCUUGGGAGUUGCUUGAAGAUGCUACCUCGUGGCUGUCCCUGCCGUAUGACUCGGUUUUACAGAGGGAAUACUUCUCUUGUGGCUUACACUGGCAAGAGGCAAUGAGAGGACAGAGGGUGGCAGGAAGCUGAUGGCAAAAAUAAGCUAUUAAUUGCUUUAACUCCAUGUGAGAGAGCCAUUAAAAAAAAAUAAAUCACGGCUCUCUUCCAAUAGGUUGAAUCCACUACGUAAACUAGACAGAAUAGGCACAGGUCAAGACAUCGAAACACUUUGGCUGGGAUUUCUUGGAUGCAGACGUCUGUCCCAUUUAUCUGCCAGUAAAUUCUGCUAUGGUUUGUCUUCACACUGCAUGCUAGAACUUAGAACUCACUGUGAAGCGCUAGCACUUGGCUUUGGACAGAAGUGAGGCAUCCCACCUGAAGUUUAGAUGGGAAUGGUCAACUCUUCACCUUUUAGAUGGACAUCUUGUGCUGUGAAUCAAGAACUCUGUUCUAGAAGAAUUUUUCUUUUCUACCCUAAAGGUUCUUCAUCAUUAAGGAGAGUUUCCUGCUCUACUAUGCUGAGAGUGAGAAGAAGAGCUUUGAAAGCAAUAAAUACUUCAAUAUCCACCCCAAGGGUGUCAUACCCCUAGGGGGUUGCAUUGUGGAACCCAAAGAAGAGCCCAACAUGCCUUAUGCCAUAAAGAUCUCUCAUGAAGACUUCCAUGGUAACAUUGUUCUAGCAGCCGAAUCGGAGUUUGAGCAGGCUCAGUGGCUGGAGAUGCUGCAGGAGUCUGGAAAAGUGACCUGGAAGAAUGCCCAGCUGGGAGAAGCCAUGAUCGAGAGCCUGGAAGCCCAAGGACUGCAGCUGGCCAAGGAGAAACAGGAGUAUGUAGAUAAGCUGAUGGAAGAAACAGAAGAGUUGUGUCUGCAGAGGGAGCAGAAAGAGGAACUGGAGCGACUGAACCAGGUGCUGGAAGCAGAGAAGCAACGGUUUGAAGAGGUGGUACGGGACCUGCGGCUGGAGCAGGAGCAGAUCAGGCGGGAGCUAGAGCUCACAGCCCGCUCCCUUAAUGGAGUGGAGGAAGAAAAGAAAGAGUUGCGAAGCCUGACUCAGUCCUUACAGAAAAACCUAGAGGAGCUCUCUGUGGAAAAGCAGCAAAUGUUGGAGAUGCUGGAAACAAAUAAUGAAAGCCCACCUUCAACCAGUCCUAGCAAGGAGCAAGGCCCCAGCUGGGGGUUGCAUUGCAGCCUGCAGCAGAUUGAAGAGAAGAUGCAGCAACUCCUGGAGGAGAAACUUCUGGCAGAGAAGAGGAUGAAGGAGAAUGAGGAGCGGUCCCGAGCCCUGGAGGCGGAGCGGGAAUUUUACUCUUCCCAGUCACAAGCGCUGCAGAACUCGCUCUCAGAGCUGACUGCAGAGAAGCAGCAGACAGAGAGAGACCUCAAGGCUGAGGUGAAGGUGCGCAUGGAACUGGAAAAGAGGCUGAAGGAAGCUGAGGAAGCAUUGCAGAGCUUGGAGCAAGGCUUAAAUUCUCUGGAUCGUAACAAGGAGAAGGAGGAGAAGAUGAAAGCAGAUGUCAGUAAUUUGAGAAAGUUCUUUGAAGAGUGUAUCCGCAACGCCGAGCUGGAGGCCAAGAUGCCUGUGAUCAUGAAGAACUCUGUGUACAUCCACAAAGCUGCCACUCGUCGCAUAAAGAGCUGCCGCCUCCACCGCCGGAGAGCCAGUGCUUCGUGGAAUGACUUGAAGCAGUCUCAGUCCUUCAUCAUCUCACAUGCAGAAGCUGAAAACAUUGAGGAGCUGAAGGAGGCAGCCAAAAGACUGAGCCGGCACCAGCACUUCCGUGAGGCGCUCUACCAAAUCAUGAGGUCGCACAAAGAUUCAUCAUCAGGGGAUGAAAAGUGACUCAUGUUGAGAGGGGACUUCUGAUCUCAACUUGCCGUUUGGCUCUGCAACCACUAAGCCGUCAGGCACUAGGGUCAGAAGGGAGUUGCAUCCUUUGGCUUAACUCUAAAGCCGGAAUGAGGAAAGAUCUAGCUGAGGAUUCAGCCAAGCCUGUGAGUUCUUUCUGCUCCUUUUUCCACCAGCCCUGAGUACAGGAGGUGCUGCAGUGCUGGGGCUGGCAUCUCUUUUUCAGCCUUGGCAGGUUUGCUACUUCAGAUGAAGAAAAAUGACAAAAGCCAUUUUGUGGAGGUAGCAAAGGCACCUUUUUCUAUUUCAGAGGUGUUGCAAUAAAUAGAACGAGUGGGGUCAUGGGUUCUUCUUUUGCUGUAUUAUGAGAAGUGCAAGCUUUGCAUUGCUUAAAAUAAGAAGUAAAUUCUGCUUACUCUUGAGUUCCUCCUGGCUGCACCCUGCCUCAAACCAUCCAGGGGCAGAGGGAUGGGUCUUUUCCCAGGACUGCUGCUCCUGGGUUUUUUUUUUUUGUUGUUUGUUUUGUUUUUUUGCUGUUAGUGCUGUGGGUAGGAGAGCUCUCACUUCACCCCUACAUCAGUGCCUGUCUGCUGGAGCCACCAACCCCUGUCCCACUGGCAUGAGAGGAAAGGGUUCUGCUUUGUGCUAGGUUUCAUUCUGAGCUCUGAAGCAUGGCCCGGAGCAGGGCCAUAGCACAGGUGGUAAAGCUCAAACUUUGGGGUUCGCAAGUGCUCAAAGACCCUGCUGAUGGAGGUGCACAGGUAGGUUAGUGACAUGAGGCUGUGAGAAGAGUUAAAGCCACACGGCAAGGAGGUGAAAAUGCUGCAGCUCCUGUAGCAAGCUAGCUGAGUAGGCUUACUGCAAAGAUUACAAGAGAUGAGAGAUCACAACUCGCUUGGGAAGUGCUUUCAUCCCCCCUUUCCUUUCUCCAUUCUGUCAGAGGCACAGCAAUGCUGCUUACUGCAGGUGAGGAGGCUUCUCCAGAAAGAGGACGGAGAGGGGGGAGUGCAGCAGAAGAGCCUAAAAAUUGAACCACUCCUGAUAGUGUGUUGGCGUUUUUUUUUUUUUAAAAAAAAAAGGCAUGCUCUUCUCAAUAUGCAAAACACAGAUGUCCUGUUUCUCAGUAAGCAAAACCACAUCCAGUCCCAGCUGACGUUCAGCCCCCUGUACUUGGACAAAAAGGGUCUGAAGCUACAGUCCCCUUCCCCUCUCCCCUACUUGUGCUGCAGACCAGGGGUAAGGCAGUGCUGACUGUGCUAGCAGGGCCCAGCUGAGUGAUGCGAGCCCAGCAUUGGCUGUCCCCUUCCUGACACUGGUGAGAUGGCCAGGUCCUCCUGUGCCUGCAGCUGCUGUGCUUGCAGACAAAAAGCAAUGAAUCCUGUCCCCAGCUUCCUCUUCUUCACUCUGCUGAAUUUCUCUUGUCAUUGCUCACUGCACACAAAAACAGAGCAGGUGGGCUUUAAUGUGGAACUUAUUUUAGAUUAAGAGAAACAAUGUAGGCUCUCUGUGCAAGCAGAGCUGGCUUUGUUCCUUAUGUAGGGGGAACGUGGGCUUCAAAAUGAGGACAAAAAUUCCCAGCCAUUCAACGGUACUGUAGAUGGGCAAAAUUAGUGUUUCUCUGAUGUGCCAGGCUUGAGUGAGGAGGAGUUGCAGGAUACGCUGCAUUCAAAGUUUGAAGCCAGCCUGCAGCAAGUGAAAAAUGGUUUGGUUUGGAGAAGGUAUUCUAGCCCUUGUUGAGCCCUCAUUCUUAAGCAGCUUCUCCUGCUCUGAGGAUGUGGAGGGAACGUGAGCCGCCUGGGUGAGUCCCCUUUGGUGCCUCAUGGCCAGGGCCAGCCUGGGGUGUCAUCCCAGAGUGUAUGGGAGGCACAGGAGAGACAGAGGGGUGCCAGGUGGCCUUCCUUGCUUUACAGCUGCUUCAGAGCUUCUUUCUGAGCAUUAGAACAGAACAAAAACAUUCACCUAGUUUUAAGGAUGAGGAAGCAAUAAGGGGCUUGAGUGUGUCUGAGGGGGAUGAUAAUACUGGUGCUGGAUCUGCCUGUUGUUGUGCUUGCCCAUUCUUUCGACUUUGUUGUUCUAAUGUGGCUAAUGGAGGAUAUCUGCAUGAGGUUGAGAUUGACAUCCCCCUGGCUUGCUGUGCUGAGCAACUGGGCCAUGGCACUGCUGCUGGCGGAGGGGAGGCCCACCCCGCUGAGAGGUGCAUGGGAGGUAAGAUGUGGCCUGUAGGAAGCUGCAGCUGCUCAUGCGUUUUUUAAAUAGUACUGAAUUUCUGUCUAGAAAAUGUUACUCAUUCAACUCACAAAGUCUUUCAGACUUGAGUGUUUCAUGCAGAAAAUGUGUACACGUGUUCAGGGAGCACCCCAGGGUGCUAACUUCCAGGAACUGCUCUGCAGCCCUCCUCGUGCCCAGCUUUGGGCAUGUCCUGUAUGUGCAGGGGCCCAUUGCCCACUGCCUGGUAGCACAGGACUAGCUGAUGGAGCCUGUGGGACAGAGCUGGUCCUGGUUUGCAGCUUGUGGGUGCAGGAGGCAGCGUGGAGGAAUUGUCUCUAGCUCAGGGCCUUGACCUCAGCUCCCUUCCUGAUGCCUGUGUGUGCAGAAAAGCGAGGUGUGUAGGAGGGCUGUGGAGGAGCGAGUGCUCGUCUUUAGCUGAGCUAAAGUCAAAUCAGGUUUUAUAUUAUGGAAUCUCAUCUCUCCUUAAUCUUCAGAGAUUUAUCGGAAAGCUUAAAGUUAGGACAGAGCAUUGUAGCAUCUAAUCUCUCCUCCUGUCUGCCACAGACAAGUACAUUUCACCUACUUAGUAUUACUCUAAUCUGUGGCUGGAAGGGCUGGGGAACGGGAUCUCUGCCACUUUUGGGGUGUUUGCCCACCUACAUUAGCAAAGCAGGACCGAUGACACAGGCCCCAGCUGGCAGCCUCCAUGAGUUGGCAAUGCAUGGAGAGCGUGGGCGUGGGGCCCCGGGGAGAACCUGGUGAGCCCAGCGUAAGUGCUGUGUGAUGGGAGGGGAGGUCUGCUUGUGGGGAAGAAGUGAGUGGGAUGGGGUUGCCCAGCCUUUUGCUAUGGCCCAGGUGACUCAGAGGCCUGGUAUAUGGCAGCUGCAGGGACCUGCCUCCUGCAGGACAAACUUGAGAGGAAGGUUCCCCUGAAGGGGACACAUCUCCCCCUGCUGUCCUUUAUUGCUGUUGCCUCCUGGGGCCACAGGGGGAGGCUGGGGUGGUGGACACCUGGUAAACAUUCAGCCACCGUGACUUGUCCUUCAGACAAAGGCAGCAAGGGGACGGGGCUUGAUCCAGCCAGCAUGAGAAACUAUGGUGGCCAUGAAAGGAGUCAUAACACAACUUGUCUGGUGCUGCUUCACAGAUGUUUUCUGGCUUUCUGAGAAGAUCUAGCUUGCUUCCCUGAAAAAUGAAGUGCUGUCAACCAAGAUGAAGAGGAACUGAGAACUCACCCUCGUGGUGUGAAGAACAAGGAUAUAGGAGCACCUCCAGCUUCAGGGCAGCCCCUGACCCUCACAAAUGAGGCACCUGGACUUGUACAGGGAGGUGGUUUCGGGUGAAUCCUGAGAACAUGUCCUGUGUUCUUUCUUAGCAAAACAUGGUUUUGUAGCUCGCUGUGUGAGGAGUUCCUCUUGCUCUUUUCUGGUGGCAGCAGACCUGGACUCCUUACGUUUCAAUAUCUGUUGGAGACUUUUGUCACUGGUGCCCUUGGAGCCCGGAGGGCUGCCCUUGUUGUGGCAGAGCUCAGCACGCACAAGCUGGCCUAAGGGGAGUGGGACGUCCCACCUUCUGCUGAAGCUAGUGCAGAGAACUCUGAAAUCAUAUUUCUGGUUAUGUGCUUCCCCACAGGUCACUUGUGUUGCUUCUCUUCAGGCUUGGUAUUUGGUUUGUUCUUCACAGCCUUUUGGAAGAUCCUGCCGUAUUAUGUUCUCUAUGUAGUACUCUGUGCCAAAUGCACCCAGCCUCCAAAGCCUUUUGCCCUCUGAGAUUUGGUGUUGUGGUUUUUUGUUGUUUUUUUUUUUUUAAAUGUUUGAGAACAAGGUUGAAUGCCAUUUUUAUAUGCUUUUAUCCUCCCCUGUUCUCAAAAGACAUCUGAGGGCAGGUGAGGGAAGCCAUGCUGCACCUUCACAGCAUCUUAGUGGCAUUACUCUCCCAGAAAUGGCAAUAAACCCACAGGCUGACAAUGGCUAUCCAGCAUCUCGUGUUGUUCCAAGCCCUGCCUGUAUUAUCUGUCAGGGAGAUAAUUCCUUGACCUUGUGGUCAGGGGAUGAGCCCUUUGCUUAGUGAUUAAGCCACUGCACUAGAUAACACUCCCUGUUUAAUCCCUUUGGUAGCUGCUGCUGGGGAGGGGACUGCAAAAAUGCAGCGGUUUUCAAUAGGUCUGGAGACCUCGGAAGCUGUGGUAACAGCACAGGAUGUGGCUGUACAUGUCCAUCCUCCCGCCUUCAUUCGCUGGCGGGCUGGAAAACAACCAGUGUAUCUAGGGCACUACUUUAUUGAGCGAUGGAGCCAUCUGGUGCAAAAACCAGAGCUGUCUGAGGGCUUAAACGUGUCAGAAGUCAGGAGUCCCUCUGUGUAUUGAUCUUAUCUUCUAUCUGCUAUAUAGAAAAAGGUUUGUAAUUACCUUUUGUUUGGUCUGUCCUGGAUAACUUGCUAAUCCUGCAGACUUGGCCUGGAUAGAGAUGAAGAAAGCUCCUACACCCAGGCCCUCCCUGCCCCUUGUACCUCGGGUGCCCAGGGAGUGUGCCGACGCAAGUGUCAUGUGUUGUCCAGGUGCACCCCAAUCUGUGGGUUUAUAACCGCAUCCUAGAACUGUACAAAUCAUAGAAGGGUGAGGCCCAAACCCCUCGUGAUACUUAGGGUUCUGCCUGCAAGUGAAAGCAGAGGGAGAGCUUUGAUUAGCUCUUAUAUAGAAUCUGCAUACAGAUAAAGCUCUGCUUGGCCUUGGUGAGGAGCUCACAGCCAGCUUUCUGCUUUCCCAAAAGGAGCUGAGCUGUGGGCCUCUGCCCGCUCCUGGCAGUUUGAUGUUAAAUUUGUUCCUUAAAGGAGGG